rnacentral:rRNA from 1 species
CACGUAGGGUGCGAGCGUUGUCCGGAAUUAUUGGGCGUGAAGAGCUCGUAGGCGGCUCGUCGCGUCGACCGUGAAAACUUGGGGCUUAACCCUAAGCUUGCGGUUGAUACGGGCGGGCUAGAGUUCGGUAGGGGAGACUGGAAUUCCUGGUGUAGCGGUGAAAUGCGCAGAUAUCAGGAGGAACACCGGUGGCGAAGGCGGGUCUCUGGGCCGAUACUGACGCUGAGGAGCGAAAGCGUGGGGAGCGAACAGG